rnacentral:rRNA from 1 species
GUGGGGAAUCUUCCGCAAUGGACGAAAGUCUGACGGAGCAACGCCGCGUGAGUGAUGAAGGUCUUCGGAUUGUAAAGCUCUGUUAAUCGGGACGAAAGAGCCUAGUGUGAAUAAUGCUAGGAAGUGACGGUACCGGAAUAGAAAGCCACGGCUAACUACGUGCCAGCAGCCGCGGUAAUACGUAGGUGGCAAGCGUUGUCCGGAAUUAUUGGGCGUAAAGCGCGCGCAGGCGGAUCUGCCAGUCUGUCUUAAAAGUUCGGGGCUUAACCCCGUGAUGGGAUGGAAACUACAGAUCUAGAGUAUCGGAGAGGAAAGUGGAAUUCCUAGUGUAGCGGUGAAAUGCGUAGAUAUUAGGAAGAACACCAGUGGCGAAGGCGACUUUCUGGACGAAAACUGACGCUGAGGCGCGAAAGCCAGGGGAGCGAAUGGGAUUAGAAACCCCUGUAGUCC